GUCAGCCGCCGCGGGAACACCGGCGGCCCGAGUGGUGAUCGUGAUUAUUGGGUCUAAAGGGUCCGUAGCCGGUUUGGUCAGUCCUCCGGGAAAUCUGAUAGCUCAACUAUUAGGCUUUCGGGGGAUACUGCCAGACUUGGAACCGGGAGAGGUAAGAGGUACUACAGGGGUAGGAGUGAAAUCUUUGUAAUCCCUGUGGGACCACCUGUGGCGAAGGCGUCUUACCAGAACGGGUUCGACGGUGAGGGACGAAAGCUGGGGGCACGAACCGGAUUAGAUACCCGGGUAGUCCCAGCCGUAAACGAUGCUCGCUAGGUGUCAGGCAUGGCGCGACCGUGUCUGGUGCCGCAGGGAAGCCGUGAAGCGAGCCACCUGGGAAGUACGGCCGCAAGGCUGAAACUUAAAGGAAUUGGCGGGGGAGCACAACAACGGGUGGAGCCCUGCGGUUUAAUUGGACUCAACGCCGGACAACUCACCGGGGGCGACAGCAAUAUGUAGGCCAAGCUGAAGACUUUGCCUGAAUCGCUGAGGAGUGGUGCAUGG
rnacentral:rRNA from 1 species